ACGAACGCUGGCGGCAGGCUUAACACAUGCAAGUCGAACGCCCCGCAAGGGGAGUGGCAGACGGGUGAGUAACACGUGGGAACGUACCCUAAGGUUCGGAAUAUUCUCGGGAAACUGAGAGCAAUACCGAAUGUGUCCGCAAGGAGAAAGAUUUAUCGCCUUAGGAUCGGCCCGCGUCAGAUUAGCUAGUUGGUGGGGUAAAAGCCUACCAAGGCGACGAUCUGUAGCUGGUCUGAGAGGACGACCAGCCACACUGGGACUGAGACACGGCCCAGACUCCUACGGGAGGCAGCAGUGGGGAAUCUUGGACAAUGGGCGCAAGCCUGAUCCAGCCAUGCCGCGUGGAUGAUGAAGGCCUUAGGGUUGUAAAAUCCUUUCGUUGGGGACGAUAAUGACGGUACCCAAAAAG
rnacentral:rRNA from 1 species